rnacentral:rRNA from 1 species
UACGGGGGGAGCAAGCGUUGUUCGGAUUUACUGGGCGUAAAGGGUGCGUAGGUGGCCUAAAAAGUUUGAUGUGAAAGCUCAGGGCUUAACCCUGAAAUGGCGUUGAAUACUGUUGGGCUGGAGGUUUGGAGGGGGGACUGGAAUUCUUGGUGUAGCAGUGAAAUGCGUAGAUAUCAAGAGGAACACCAGUGGCGAAGGCGAGUCCCUGGACAACACCUGACACUGAGGCACGAAAGCCGGGGGAGCAAACAGG